rnacentral:lncRNA from 1 species
CCUUGGGGCUGUCAUGCCGCAAACUUUUCUUCCAGGGAUUAACAAGAGAAACUCAUGAGCACACGUGGAGCUUCCCGCAACGCACAACAGAGAGAGAGCGAGAGAGAGACAGAGAGAGAGAAAGAAAGAGAGAGAGCAAGAGAUGGGACCAUGUAAAGGCACUUCUAACAGAUCUCCUCUCAUCCUCCCUCUCUUCUUCCUUCCUUCCUCUCCUCCUCCUCGUGCUGCUCUGCCAGUAAAGCCUGUUCCUGCUCACCUUGGCCAGGCUGAUGUGGGAUGCAAGCAGCUCCAUGUGAAUGCCUUUUUGCUCUUUAAAGAGCAGCUGUAUAGCUGCCGUGGCUAUCAGGAUCAGGGUGUGAUCUCCUUUUCUACUCGUUCCUCUCCUUCGCGCUCCCCUCAGUCCUCGUGCCUGCCUGUUUGUGUGUUAUUUCUCACCAGCAGACACUCCGCUACCCCACACACCCCUCUCCAGAGGGCAGACUGUGGGUUGCGUUCCCUCUUCUAGUCGGCUGGGCUGUGUGGGGUUCGGAGUCAGAGCGCUGUGAGAUGUAUUCCCUCUGAAACCCGGAGUGAGGGGGGGCAGGAAGUAACUCAGCAGCCGUAGAGGUAGCAUCGGCGUCGACAGCGGUGGCAACAGUGAGCGUGUGAGAGAGAGAUUAGAGUAGUGGAGCACGUUGCUGAGCUGAGCUGUGCCAUAGCGUGUUCUGUCUGGCUCCGUGCGCUCUGGUGAGGCAGGGGCGUCCAGGAGGGGAGACAUGUGGCUCAGCCCAAAGCCUCAGGACCAGGAACAGUGAAGAGCAGCCCUCGGCAGCCUCUAGCAGUAUGGCAGAGCCAGAGACCCACUGAUGAUUCCAGCCUGACUGAUGCCAGCCCACGUGUGGGUUACCAUGCGCCACAGCCGCGCCGCACCAGAGGGAAACACAGCCAUGUGAAAGUGGACUUGGUCGAAGAGCAACUCUUGGACAUGUUUUCCAGGGAAAAGUUUGUAUUUUUCUCCAUUUUUGAACUUGUUUUGUUUCUCUUGGUGCUGUUUGGCGGUCCCGAGCUCAGCCAGCAGGCAAGGACUAAAGCCAGAUGGAACAAGGGGGGGUCAAUCCACAGAUACCACAGGAGCCAACCCCUCUCCAGAGAUGGCAGAUGACAGGGAUUCUCCUCCAGAAAAGAAGUCUGCCGUGGCUGAGCUUUUUGGGGAGUUGUUCACGACCCAGG